CGCCUCUUGACAAAAUAUAAGAGGUCCAGCCUGCCCAGUGACAAAGUUAAACGGCCGCGGUACCCUAACCGUGCGAAGGUAGCGCAAUCACUUGUUCUUUAAAUGAGGACUAGUAUGAAUGGCAUCACGAGGGUUGCACUGUCUCCCCUUUUUAAUCAAUGAAACUGACCCCCCCGUGAAGAGGCGGGGAUAUAACUAUAAGACGAGAAGACCCCAUGGAGCUUUAAACUCAGUAUCAACCGCCUAACAACACAUCAUUACAAUUUGGCUGAUCUGAUUACUAGUUUUCGGUUGGGGUGACCGCGGAGUAAAACAAAACCUCCACGAUGAAAGGACCUAUACUCCUAAUCAUAGAGCCACAGCUCAAAGAAUCAAAAAACUGACAUAAAUUGAUCCAAUUAAUUUGAUCAACGAACCAAGUUACCCUGGGGAUAACAGCGCAAUCCACUUCAAGAGCCCCUAUCGACAAGUGGGUUUACGACCUCGAUGUUGGAUCAGGGUAUCCCAGUGGUGCAGCCGCUACUAAAGGUUCGUUUGUUCAACGAUUAAAACCCU
rnacentral:rRNA from 1 species